rnacentral:rRNA from 1 species
CCUGGGCUAAUACCGGAUACGUAAACCUGUGGCAUCACAUGGUUUUUGGAAAGUUUUUCGAUUGAGGAUGGAUUCGCGGCCUAUCAGCUUGUUGGUGAGGUAAUGGCUCACCAAGGCGACGACGGGCAGCCGGCCUGAGAGGGUGAACGGCCACACUGGGACUGAGACAUGGCCCAGACUCCUACGGGAGGCAGCAGUGGGGAAUAUUGCGCAAUGGAUGAAAGUCUGAC